rnacentral:rRNA from 12 species
UGAAGAGUUUGAUCAUGGCUCAGAUUGAACGCUGGCGGCAGGCUUAAGACAUGCAAGUCGAGCGGAAACGAUGGGAGCUUGCUCCCAGGCGUCGAGCGGCGGACGGGUGAGUAACGCGUAGGAAUCUGCCUAGUAGUGGGGGAUAGCUCGGGGAAACUCGAAUUAAUACCGCAUACGCCCUACGGGGGAAAGCAGGGGAUCUUCGGACCUUGCGCUAUUAGAUGAGCCUGCGUUGGAUUAGCUUGUUGGUGGGGUAAUGGCCUACCAAGGCGACGAUCCAUAGCUGGUCUGAGAGGAUGAUCAGCCACACUGGGACUGAGACACGGCCCAGACUCCUACGGGAGGCAGCAGUGGGGAAUAUUGGACAAUGGGCGAAAGCCUGAUCCAGCCAUGCCGCGUGUGUGAAGAAGGUCUUCGGAUUGUAAAGCACUUUAAGUUGGGAGGAAGGGCAGUAAAUUAAUACUUUGCUGUUUUGACGUUACCGACAGAAUAAGCACCGGCUAACUCUGUGCCAGCAGCCGCGGUAAUACAGAGGGUGCUAGCGUUAAUCGGAUUUACUGGGCGUAAAGCGUGCGUAG